AACGAUGCAUGACUUGACUCUUCCAACAUCCUGUCAUCAACGUUUCUAAGACCCUAGAAGGAAAGAGAGAAAAGGAUGAGAGGAAAGAAGCCUGCUCUGUCACAAUCAACUAUGUGGUAAAUGGAAGAGGCAGCAUCCAGCUUAAUACAAGGAAGAACUUUCAACUACUGGAAAACCCAAAGAUGGAUGUCUGGUGGUAGGGAGCUCCACAACACUGGAGGACUUGAAGGAAAUAUUCUGUUCAGCUUCAGAAACAGAGACAACUGGCCUUUCCUACCUGUGGACACCCACAACGUUCCAGCUCCUGUGUUUGCACGCCAGGUGGGAGGCCCGGAGUGGUACGAGUGUUGAACAUACUAGAGAUUCUACCUGCUAAGUGUAGUACGUUCCUAACUCCUGUUUGGUAUUCCUCUGGUUUUGAUUGAUGCAUUUUUCUUCUUUGUUACUAUACAUCUUAUAAGCCACCUCAAUCUCUUGGGACACAGGUGUAUAAAUAUGUAAUAUGUACCUGACU